rnacentral:rRNA from 1 species
AACGAACGCUGGCGGCAUGCCUAACACAUGCAAGUCGAACGAGACCUCCCUGCCUUUUGGCGCACGGGUGCGUACCGCGUGGGAACUUGCACUUAGGUUCGCUAUAACUCCCUGAAAGGUGUGUUCAUACCGCUUAAUGUCUUCCGACCAAAGAUGUCUUGCGUUUGGAUGGGCCCGCGUUGGUUUGGCCGGUUGGUAGGGUACAAGCCUAUCAUGGCGGGGAUCCAUAGCUGGUCUGUGAGGAUGAUCAGCCACACUGGGGCUGAGACACGGACCAGAAUCGUACGGAGGAGGGCAGUAGAGAAUAUUAGAGGAUGGGCGAAGACCUAGUCAAGCAGUGCCGGGUAAGUGAUGAAGGCCUUAGGGUUGUGAAGCUCUUUUAGCCGAGGUGAUAGUGACGGUACCGGGUAAAGAAGCUCCGGCUAACUCCGUG